rnacentral:lncRNA from 1 species
ACCCCAACACGCCUAUCCAUCAUCGUCAUUGGUGCAGUAAAAUUGAUGAGAUUGGUGCAGUAAAAUUGUGGGUUGGUUUUACCUCAGAUUGGUGCAGUAAAAUUGAUACAGGGCAAUUUGGUCUUUUUUGGUUUAAAGAAGGAUAUUCCUUAAUGCAAAAUAACCAAGGUUAUUCUGAAAGUACAUUAAUUUGUGUAUUAAAUAAUAAUUUAUUUAUUUAUUUAAAAAAAAGAAUAUGCAACAUUUUUUACCUGUAAAAUGCCAACCACAAUGCCAUGCAUUUCUGGAGAACACUGGAGCCAUUUCUUCAACAAAUCUAUAAAUCCAAACAACAAAUAAAAAACAAUUGACAAAUUAUAUUUUUAAGACAUGCACUUUAGCUAUGAAUUGCUUGUAAUUUGUGAUAUGAUACUGUAUGUAAUGUGUUUCCCCUAAGUCAAAUUUUUGUCAAUGAGACAAAAACUGCAAUUUUUUGUUGCAACAAAAAAGGUGGGGCAGAGACUUGCUUUGUAAUAGACGUAAAUGCCCUUCAUAUUUUAUAUGAACAAAGUAAAUUACCCUUUGAUUCAUUUACCUGUGGAAUAUGUCAUCUUUUCCGUAAUGUCAUCCUAUGAUGUAUAUCUAAUGAUUUUGGAUCUAAAGUUGGUUGAGAUAUCUCCAGUCCUGCUGUAUUAUUGUACUUAGCCAAGGUAUGGGCUAAAUACAGGAAAUGGCAAGGUACUUUUUUUUUUUUUUUUUACUUUUAGGUGUAAUAUAUAGAACAAAACAAAAUUCUCUCGCUUUCUCUUAUGUUAGCCACACGUAGCCCCUCUAUCUCACCAACACACUCAACAACCUAUAAUCGUCUUAUUCUUGGUUAUCAUGUUUUGUAAUGUUAAUAUUUUUAAUGAAUAUAAAUCAUUCAUAUAUACAUAUAAUUUAACGAUGACCAAAAGAGAAGUAAUUAUCAAAUUCAAUCCAAUGGUUCAAACAGAAACUGUAAUCACAUAGUAUUAAUCUCCUUUCAGUCUCUUUGGCUAACUGCACAGAGCUGGAGCAAUAAAUCCACGUCACAUUCUCAUUUUUAUAUAUAAACAAAAAAUAAUAUUCAUCAAAGUAAGAUGCUAUAAUACAAAAAAAAAAAAUUGUAACGUACUUUAGCCACUUCUACAAAUAUCCCUUUAUUGUUGGUAUAACAGUGCCUGCAAGAACAUAAAAUAAUGAAAAAACAAAUCUAAAUUCAUUAAAAUUGCUUUAUUGGAAUAUACUACAACAUGUAAAAAGAAAAAAACGAACCACACUGAUAACAUUUGUACAUGAACAAAUGAUACGAAUAUCAGGGGAACCUGGUCUUCCUGUUGAUACUUCAGCGAGUAUACAUCCAAUUACCCAAAUAUGGGUUAUAUUGUAAUCAAGAUGGGGAAAAAGUUAGAUAACUCAUAGGGACAAAAAGGUCUAAAUAACAAAUAAACUCAGCACAAACCGACUUAAACUGAUAUAGUUGCCUGAAGAAACAUGAAAAAGUGUUUGAAAUAUAACCUAAAUUUUUAACACUGAUACAUCGAAACAUUGCUCAUUUAUUACAAAGGAUGCAAUUUUUGACCAUGUAGAAGAUCAAGUUCAGAACCGGAUGAUCAAGCACAUCAAAUGUAGCUUGUGAAUCAAAAGCAGACCAAACAUCCUGCAAUUCACCAAAUGAAGUUCACACACAUAAAGGAAGCUAUAAAGUAAAGAGCUUAAUGAUGUUUCCACUUUUGUUGGUAUUAAAUAGUGUUUUAGACAUAUAAUUAAUAGUCGAACGUGUGCGUAUCAAGUCAAAAAUGGCAAUUAAGAAUAUGCAUACUGUAAAAACAUAUAUUAAAUGUUACCACAAAGCAUCUUAUAACAAAACAUGUAAAGAAUAUUCAUGUCAUGGACCCAACCUACGACAUUUAGCACAAAUCAGACGCUUAGUUGAUUGAAGGUAGGGUUAGUUAGGUAAUUCCACAUUCAUCUCAACAAUCACCGAUCUCGAGAAGUUUCUUGGGUCUUGCUUUAGAUUCAAUAGGAAACUUCCUUAGCAUGACAAAUAACCUAAUGCAAAAUUACAGUUUCAGCCAAAAGGUUGUAGACAGGCUUACUUUCCUUCAUAUGUCAGAAAUCCUAUGGAUGCGAUAAGGGACACAACUGCAAAAUAAAUGUAAAAUAAGAUUGCAUUAUUUUGUCAAGGGUAUUUUAGACAAUCGAAAAAUAGUCGAGAAAUUUAGUAAAACUAUGUGUGAAACAUUAAAACUUUCAUGGCAUGUAAGGAGGUAGGGAGUGCUUCACUUUUUAAAGAAAUGUUGUUUUUUUUUUUUUAACUUUUUGUUUAAUAAUAUGUUGGAAAACCCAAAAAUGUGUUUUUUACGUAUUUCCUUUUUAAUUUAAACUUCUUUUUACCUGCAACAAAUAUUUUUCCGAAGAAUCUCACAUGCUGAUAUCGUUCAACCAAAGGUAUAUCAAAAGACAACCUUCACUAUUCAGCUGGUACUCUAUAAUGAUCGUAAAAUAGUGAAAGGGACCUAUACUGUUCGUGAGUUGCGCAAUGAAUUACCAUCUGCAAAUAGCAAAAACAUUUACAGACCAUAUGUAACUUACCGGAAUGAUUAGAAUCACAAUAGGUAAUCGAUAGAGAAAACUGAAAAGAUACAUACAACCUAAGUAAUUUAGUAAAUUAAUUGGAAUGGUUAGUUGGUUACAAUCAGUUUAGAUUUGUGUUUUAGUAAAAUAAACAUAAUACAGGGCUAUUUUUUGAUUAAAAAUCAAAAAGUGUUGUCGUUUUUGGUAAAAAAAUAAAAAAGAAAGUUUGUAACAGAAAAAAAAAAUACACAGGGCCUAAGUAAUAUAGUAAAGUAAUUGGAAUGGUUCCAAUCAUAGUAGAAACGAAAAUGUAUUUUUUUUUCUCUUUGGCGGCCAAUCUAAUAAUACUAUAGAAAGGUGAAAAAUGAAAUAUGUAGAAUAUUAGAAAUUGCAGUCAUUCCUAUUCCUAGAAACGAAAUAUAUACUAAAACUUGAAACAUGGGAAAAUAAAAAAGAAAGUUUGUAACAGAUAAAGGAAUAUGGGAAAGAAAAGAAGGUAAAAUUACCAUGAGAUGGAGCUAACCAACAAAAGCAAGCCUUAUAAAGUUACCGUGAAUCUGUUCCAAAGACCAACAAUGGGUAAAAAAAAAAGGCCAAUUAACUGGCUAAUAAAAGUGAACUCUUUCCUUAUUGAAACCCAAAUAAACACUUAUUAAACGAACUUUAGUAUGAGACACAAUAAGCAAAAAACUAACAUUUUAUAAUGAGAACUUAAAGAAAAUGCAGGCUAUUCAGGUAAACAAAUUGCAUUACCAUUUAAAUACAAUAUUUGAAGGUUUGAAUCAGUUUAAAACCCAUCUGAUGGAAUCUACAAAUGAAGGAAAAUGAAAUAACAAACUAAAAAUGACCAACAUACCUUGCAAAAAGUUAGACUGCAUAAAGAAGCAUUUCAGGAACCUCCUUCUCUGUGUUGUGUACCCCAAAUGUCAUCUUUUGUAGAAAUGACUUCAAUCCUCAAAUACCUCCUCUGUGGUCUAUUUCGCAAACGACUUCAUGCUGCAGAGUGCACAUAAAUUUGAUUCAUAAUUGUUCCACAAAACAUGAAAAGAACAUCGUUUCAUGUGUUGAUAGUGUAAGGAACGGGAUAUGAAAGCUUUUUUUACCCCAUAAAACAGAAUUACCAUUUAGUCUACUAUGAUCUUUUAGUUUUUUUAUUGUUCCACCAACUACAACAAUUGCAAUCUAUAAAGUAAUUUGAAAGCCGACAUAACAAAUGAAAUACCAAAGUAAUCAUUUCAAUGACCGAGAUGAAACAGCAGAAAUCCCAAGUACAAAGUUCAGGAAGAUGCUUUUGCUAUAAGUUUAACAAAAACAUGUACCAAUUUCAUCUGGUUGUGCCCCAAAACCCAAAAUAGAAAAGAAAUUAUGAUUUAAUCGAUGAAGUAAUCAGCUUUUCGCUACAUUAUAAGAGUUACCAUCCAAAGAAUCGAUUACUACCCCUAAUCAGUAGGGAAAGACGGAAGCGGAAUUACGUACCACCUGAUGAAAGCGAAAAAACCCUUGCAAACCAGUAGCGAAAAAACCCUCGCAAACAAAUUCCGUACCACUUGAUGAAAGCGUAAUCAGUAGGGAAAGCCGGAAGCGGAAUCACCUGCGAUGAUGGUUGGAAGCGUUCCCAGAAGCGGUACGGGUUGGUAGGCGUCGACCUCAUCAGUUGAUCUUUCCGGCUCAUCGAUAAUCUACGGUGAGGAGGUGGGGUUAAUGAAUCGGAGCACCAGUUGGAGAAGGCAGGUAUCGCUCAUCGCAGGGACGUUAGCGAUUGAAAGCCCUAAUCUUCAGCUUCGCUUUGAGGUCGAGAAUCGAUUUGUAGUGUCACAACCACCACCACUCCACUGCGAUGAUACGUAAACCCCAAAUUGAAUCACAUAUGAUGGUGCGUCGGGUUCUUCUGCACCGGUAACAAAGCCAGAGACAGAGAGAGAGUGAGACCCGAUAAAAGCAUUGACAAUGAGUUUGGGAAAGGAAGAAAGUCGAUGUAGAAAGCUCCUGGAAGAGGCGGUGGGCGGUGGGAUGAAAGAAACCAGUGAGCAGAAAGAAGGAGAAACGGAGAAGAAAGAAGUCUACCAAAGAAAGAGAAUGAUCGAUCAAUUGACACGUAGAACCGAAAUUACCAUUAAACCAUCAGUGUAAGCCACGUUGAAAGCGGUGGAAAGAUGUUACAAAACAUCCCCUAAAGAAAUAAAAAAGUGGAAAAGAAAUUGAGGGACCAUAAAU